rnacentral:rRNA from 1 species
UCAAAGGAAUUGACGGGGGCCCGCACAAGCGGUUGGUUGCAUGUGGUUUAAUUCGACGCAACGCGAGGAACCUUACCUAGGCUUGACAUGUGGUGAGUAGCGAACCGAAAGGGGAGACGACCCGUCAAAUCGGGCCAUCACACAGGUGCUGCAUGGCUGUCGUCAGCUCGUGCCGUGAGGUGUUGGGUUCAGUCCCGCAAACGAGCGCAACCCUCGCCCUUUGGUUGCCAUCGGGUAAAGCCGGGCACUCUAAGGGGACUGCCAGUCGACAAGUUGGAGGAAGGAGAGGAUGACGUCAAGUCAUCAUGGCCUUUAUGCCUAGGGCCCACACACGUGCAACAAUGGCCGGUACAGACGGUAGGC